CACACAUUGAAAUUGUGCCUAUCCAGCAUGAAAGGCUGGUUUGUUUGUUUUUUUUCUUUUCGGAACGUAAUUGCUCUUGAGGUGUUUCAUACGGAAAAAAAAAAAACAGUUUUUGCAAAAGCAUAAUUUAUUGAAUGAUUCCUUUAUCUAGCAUUUUUGUCUUUUAUUUUAUUUUUUAACACGCACACACAGUUUCCUGUUGGCGUUUAGUCGAUUCAACGAACAUGUCGCUUAAGUUUGAAAUUUGCUCCGGGCAGGUUUCGUCUAAUUCUUUUAAAACGAUUCUAACCAUUUAAGCUUCACUUCAACGCCAGAGUCUCGCCUUCGAUAACGAAAUAAAGCAGAAGACAACGACUCUACAGCAUAUCUUCUACAGACUAUCGCUUAUAGGAUCCGAUUAUCGAUCGAGUCGAAAAAUCCGGCAGGUCAAUUCCCCAGAAAAUCGUGUUCGGCCAAAUAAAAGCAUAUCGGAGAUUUCGCAAAUGAAAUCACGCAAGUUUAAACUCAUGCGGGGAGGGGAAAAAAAUCAAAAACGUAGCUAACUCGGAUCGUUUAAGUGGUUUUUGUUUUUUUUCAGUGGACGGGAUUAACGAUUUGAGCGGUUUAAGCACUCGGAAAGCUCGGAUCGUUUUCUUUAGCGUUUCGCUUUUAUGCACUUUGUAACUAAAUCCGGCGUCGACUUUAAGAGGUGUGUGUCUCGUGCUACCGGGGGGCAUUUUUAUCCUAUAGUGAAGUAUUUUACACUUUAUUUAAUCACAUGAACUCAUUUGGUGGUUUUUGUUUAAAAACGGAAAUUUUGGUUUGUAUGUUGUUUUUAUUAAAUCAUUUUUUUUUUUUUUGUCAGUCACUGUGCGUUACGAAGCGUCCAUAUCUCUGGUAUUAUCAUUACUUUGUUUUUGCAAAGUGUUGAAAGUUUAAUUAUGACCCUUGGUUAUUUUUUAACAAUUUGAAUGGAAUUGUUUUUAUUUAGUAUUAUAUCAAUAUCAAGUGACUGUAUGUUUAAAAAAAAAAAAGAAAAAAAAAACAAUUCCUGUGUAGUUUAUCAAACUUUUUUUUUUUUUUUUUUUUUAAAUCGUCACGUCCACACUCGUUUUAUUUUGUAACUUUUUUUUUUUUUUUAUCAUGUAUUUUUUAUUUUGUGAAGACUUUUCCAUCAGCAGCAGCAUAUCUGAAACAGCAGAGCAUGAUGGACGCCGUCGCUGCUUUCGAUCUGUUGCUGGACCUCUAACACACACACACACACACGAUGCUGUACACACACGCAGAGUUAUUAAGGACUUGAGCGCACAGGUGCGAGCGCAGCACGGACCGUCAAACGAAGACUUGUAAAAAGGGCUUUCUUUUUUCUGUUCCCCGCUCGCAGACACGCCACAGGCAUCGCAUUCCCAGUUUUGUAUAAAAGCUUAGACGAAACAAAGUGUACAUUUGAUUUUCCUCUUUUGUGUAAUUACAGUUAGCUGUUAACGAGAUGAGUUAUUAUUAUUAUUGUUAUGUGGAAAAUAAAUGCCUUCGAUGAGUACCGAGUGCUCGUGUCCCGUUUAAGACACACACUUCCUGUCUGUCUGGUGUGUGUGAGAUGGGGACGGGACCGCGACCAACAGAAGGGAAUCGGGACAGUGAUGGAGACGACUGUAGUGGUAAUGGGGCAGUGAAUGGAACAGUGAAAGACAGGAGGAUGACGAGGACAGGAUGGGGAUGGAGACGGGGUGGAGACUGAGACGGGAUGAAGACACAUGGGGUGGAGACAGAGGUUUCUUCUUAAUACUCAAAUUAAUGCUUCCUCAUUUCCUCAGUCCUCCAGCCUGUAACCCGGAAAUUGAUCGAAGUCAACCAUCUUGAAGGACAUAUCAAUUCUCUAAUUGCACUGCGAGG
ensembl:lncRNA